rnacentral:rRNA from 1 species
UACGUAGGUGGCAAGCGUUGUCCGGAUUUACUGGGCAUAAAGAGCGCGCAGGCGGUCGAAUAAGUCGAAUGUGAAAGCCCCCGGCUUAACUGGGGAGGGUCAUUCGAUACUGCUCGACUUGAAGGCAGGAGAGGGUAGUGGAAUUCCCGGUGUAGUGGUGAAAUGCGUAGAUAUCGGGAGGAACACCAGUGGCGAAGGCGACUACCUGGCCUGUUCUUGACGCUGAGGCGCGAAAGCGUGGGGAGCAAACAGG